CCUACGGGGGGCAGCAGUAGGGAAUCUUCCACAAUGGACGAAAGUCUGAUGGAGCAACGCCGCGUGAGUGAAGAAGGGUUUCGGCUCGUAAAGCUCUGUUGGUAGUGAAGAAAGAUAGAGGUAGUAACUGGCCUUUAUUUGACGGUAAUUACUUAGAAAGUCACGGCUAACUACGUGCCAGCAGCCGCGGUAAUACGUAGGGGGCAAGCGUUGUCCGGAAUGAUUGGGCGUAAAGGGCGCGUAGGCGGCCUGGUAAGUCUGGAGUGAA
rnacentral:rRNA from 1 species